rnacentral:rRNA from 1 species
UACAGAGGGUGCGAGCGUUAAUCGGAAUUACUGGGCGUAAAGGGCGCGUAGGUGGUGAGAUGUGUGUGAUGUGAAAGCCCCGGGCUUAACCUGGGAAGGGCAUCGCAAACUAUCUGACUGGAGUACAGGAGAGGGUGGCGGAAUUUCCGGUGUAGCGGUGAAAUGCGUAGAUAUCGGAAGGAACGUCAGUGGCGAAGGCGGCCACCUGGACUGAUACUGACACUGAGGCGCGAAAGCGUGGGGAGCGAACAGG